rnacentral:rRNA from 1 species
UACGUAGGGGGCAAGCGUUGUCCGGAAUCAUUGGGCGUAAAGAGCGUGUAGGCGGUUCAGUAAGUCUGCUGUGAAAGUCCAGGGCUCAACCCUGGGAUGCCGGUGGAUACUGCUGGGCUAGAGUACGGAAGAGGCGAGUGGAAUUCCCGGUGUAGCGGUGAAAUGCGCAGAUAUCGGGAGGAACACCUAUUGCGAAGGCAGCUUACUACGCAGAUAUUGACGCUCAUGCACGAAAGCGUGGGGAUCAAACAGG